CGAAGGGGGCUAGCGUUGCUCGGAAUUACUGGGCGUAAAGUGUUUGUAGGCGGCUUUUUAAGCCAGUGGUGAAAGCCUGGGGCUCAACCCCAGAAUUGCCAUUGGGACUGGAAGGCUAGAGAGUGUUAGAGGUAAGUGGAAUUCCUAGUGUAGGAGUGAAAUCCGUAGAGAUUAGGAGGAAUAUCGAUGGCGAAGGCAGCUUACUGGGACAUUUCUGACGCUGAGAAACGAAAGCGUGGGUAGCAAACAGGAUUAGAUACCCUGGUAGUCCACGCCCUAAACGAUGGAUGCUAGAUGUCGGGUUUAAACUCGGUGUCGUAGCUAACGCGUUAAGCAUCCCGCCUGGGGAGUACGGUCGCAAGAUUA
rnacentral:rRNA from 1 species